AUGUCAUGAUAGACAACACACGAAACGAUCAUGUGGGUACAUGUAAUCACUCAUUACCUUGUACCAUUCUUGGACAUGGUUGCCCACAAAGGACUUUCCAUGAUAUGCCUGUCUGUAGAUCCAUAAAGUUGACAAUACUUUAUCUAGUGAACUGGCCACAGGACCAGUGCCGUACAUGUAGGUCAGGCCUACUGUUGCUGGGUCCAUCUCCUGGGUCAGUCUAUAAAUUUGGGAUCCUAAGUGUGACAUUUUUCCAUCCCUGUUAGCUCUAACAUGUGUACCAUCUGAGAUGUUUGACGAGGGCUAGAUCACUGAAAUUGAUUUCAAACUUUUUAUUUGUUUGACACAACUGAUGGUCAGGCUUGUGACAUGAAUACUCGAAUGCAUCGAAGAGUUUCUUGUCUACACCAAGCGAGACGUGGAGACUGGGAACAACCAAGUGUAAAAUGACAAAGUAAAGAGAAAAUGAAAUUGGUGUUUCUGAAACAGAGAACAGCUUUGCAAGGAACUCAUAGUCCCCACAGCAGAAUAACCUCACUGCUCGGUUCGUGGAAAAAGCGUAUUACACACUUCAUUCCAUAAAGAGUGUAAGAAGCAGGCUAAAGAGAGAAACUAGUCCCAAUGAUGACCCAAGCGACGGCAACUCAGACGUGAUGAGGAACAAGAACAGUGGAUGGAGAACCAACAGUGUAAGAAGCAGGUUGAAGAGAGAAACUAGUCCCAAUGAUGACCCAAAUGACGGCAACUCAGACGUGAUAAGGAACAAGAACAGUGGAUGGAGAACCAACAGUGUAAGAAGCAAGCUGAAGAGAGAAACUAGUCCCAAUGAUGACCCAAGCGACGGCAACUCAGACAUGAUGAGGAACAAGAACAGUGGAUGGAGAACCAACAGUGUAAGAAGCAAGCUGAAGAGAGAAACUAGUCCCAAUGAUGACCCAAAUGACGGCAACUCAGACGUGAUGAGGAACAAGAACAGUGCAUGGAGAAAGCAGCAGACAUUGUCGUGUGAAAGCUGUGCACAUGCCCCCUCAAGGAGAACCAGAUCUACCACGCUGAUGAGAAGAGCGCCCUCGCCUGCUUCAACAAGAGAAGCAAUAUACAUGUAGAGGACACUAUCCUGUGGGACUUCCCAGAGACGAAUCACGAGAACAUCAAGAUGUCAGUCCUCGCCUCCUUCAUGGAGGAAGAGUUUCCACAGCAGGAUCUCAAGCAGUGGCUCACACACAGGCAAGGAAGAGGAAAAGAGACGGCGUCCUCGCUUCUGCCUUACAGUGACGUAAAUCUGUGCAGGGGAGGGGUUGCUGGACACUAGAGGGACAUACCUCUUGGUCUUUCAUCUCCCAUUUUAAGUGCUGUUAAAAAUUUUAGCUAUCGGGAAUUUUGAAUAAUGCCUCCAAAUGUGCCUGAAUGGUCACUGCCAAAAAUGAAUCAUAAGGUAGUAUCGUUGAUGGCUCUUGCUGUGCAGCUGAAAAGGUGGAGUCAAAAUUUACGCAAGAUUCAUUAAAAAAAAUUCAUUGAAAUUCUUACUUGUACACUUAUUUUCUCUUACUUCAUAAAUUUGUCAUUAGAAAUUAGCUUUUCACAAUGAUUUUUUUCUGAAAAUGGAUUUGGCAAACAGUCAAGUUGUCUCAAUGGUCGAGUUGUCCAAAGUCGAGUUGGUAAACGGUGGAGUUGUCCAACAUCCCUCCCAACAUGGCAGCAACUCGGCGUGGCACCAAACGCCAUGCUGUCAUCGUGUUCAAUUAAAUGAAAUUCACGCUUCGGCUUGACAUAUUUGUAACACGCGUGUGAAGCAACAUACUCAAGGAUGAUAAUUAAAAUACAAAUAAACCGGUACAGCAUGACAAGGGUAGCAGCAGUGUUGGCCUAAUCAAAAGCGAGACGUCGUCGGAUUUUACAGGUUUUUUUUUCUUGUUUGUACAAUGCUUCCAGAACUGUUCGGAACAAACCUUCAUUUUUAAAAUGCGCAAACUUGUUAACGAGGGAGGUCCAAAUUAUCCAACAAUGAACUUUUCUUUUGCUGAAUGAAACAAUAGGGCAGAAAUAUGAACCAAACCGCAUCCAUAAAUUUGUAGAAUUCUUACUUGGGACUUAACAACAGCAAAAUCAAUGGCAAAAUCGCUGCCUUGGGUAGUGAAAUUACAGAAUCUACAAACUUGAAUGGUGCACAGCCAAAUCGAGCAAGGAUGCCUUAGGGGAAAGUAAAGUUUAUACUGACUGGAAAGAUCCCAUCGCAGGAUUAAAUGAUGAAAUUGCCAAAUGACACGGUGAAGAUGAUGAAUGAAAUUCUUAAAUUGGCAAAUUGAAUGGUGAAAUUAUCAAACGGAAUGGUGAGCCUAACUGUAUAAAACGAAAAGUUUUGAUUAUAGAAACUGACAGCGUACAUGCGUUUGCCAAGGAAGAUAGCGGUGGAGUUCCAGAAAAUGAUUCAGGCAUCAUUCUCUCUCUCUCUAUGCAUUUGCCGCACGUUAAUGAAGUGCAUUCUACACGGCAGAAGCACAACGUUUGACACAGGCCUGAGUCACAUAAAUGGAGGAGAAGUUGAUCUCUGGCACUGAAAUCCCCAAUGAGGACAGUAGCAUCUCCAGGAAAUACAUUAUUCAGGAACUUGCUGAACUGAAUGUUGAAGUCAUCGUUUGACUCUGAGCUUGAAGCUGCAGGUAGAGUAGGUGCGAAAGCAGAGAUCAAGGAGAUCUAGCCAGAGCUGAGACCCUUCAUAGAGACGUGUGGCAAGUGGAGAUACACAUGUUUGGAAGUACCAUUGAUCUGGCUACGUUUUCCCGAAACGCCCACCACGCUGGGAAUCAGA